CCUGAUCCAGCCAUGCCGCGUGAGUGAGAAGGCCUCGGGUUGUAAAGCUCUUUCGGCGGGGACGGAACGGUCCGU
rnacentral:rRNA from 1 species